rnacentral:rRNA from 1 species
AUUGAACGCUGGCGGCAUGCCUUACACAUGCAAGUCGAACAGCAGCAUGAUCUAGCUUGCUAGAUUGGUGGCGAGUGGCGAACGGGUGAGUAAUACAUCGGAACGUGCCCUGUAGUGGGGGAUAACUAGUCGAAAGAUUAGCUAAUACCGCAUACGACCUGAGGGUGAAAGUGGGGGACCGCAAGGCCUCAUGCUAUAGGAGCGGCCGAUGUCUGAUUAGCUAGUUGGUGAGGUAAAGGCUCACCAAGGCGACGAUCAGUAGCUGGUCUGAGAGGACGAUCAGCCACACUGGGACUGAGACACGGCCCAGACUCCUACGGGAGGCAGCAGUGGGGAAUUUUGGACAAUGGGCGAAAGCCUGAUCCAGCAAUGCCGCGUGUGUGAAGAAGGCCUUCGGGUUGUAAAGCACUUUUGUCCGGAAAGAAAUGGCUCUGGUUAAUACCUGGGGUCGAUGACGGUACCGGAAGAAUAAGGACCGGCUAACUACGUG